UUAAAAGAAAUUUUCUCUGACUUUGAUGCUAAAUACAGAGGAGCCUUUUGUGAAGCCAAGAUCAAGACAGCAAAAAGGCUUGUCAAAGUCAAGGUAACAUUUAGACAUGAUUCUUCAACGGUGGAAGUUCAGGAUGACCACAUAAAGGGCCCAUUAAAGGUUGGAGCUAUUGUGGAAGUGAAGAAUCUUGAUGGUGCAUAUCAGGAAGCUGUUAUCAAUAAAUUAACAGAUGCGAGUUGGUACACUGUAGUUUUUGAUGAUGGAGAUGAGAAGACACUGAGACGAUCUUCACUGUGCCUAAAGGGAGAGAGGCAUUUUGCUGAAAGUGAAACAUUAGACCAGCUCCCACUCACCAACCCUGAACAUUUUGGCACUCCAGUCAUAGGAAAGAAAACAAAUAGAGGAAGAAGAUCUAAUCAUAUACCAGAGGAAGAGUCUUCUUCAUCCUCCAGUGAUGAAGAUGAGGAUGAUAGGAAACAGAUUGAUGAGCUACUAGGAAAAGUUGUGUGUGUAGAUUAUGUUAGUUUGGAUAAAAAGAAAACACUAUGGUUUCCUGCAUUGGUGGUUUGUCCUGAUUGUAGUGAUGAAAUUGCUGUGAAAAAAGAUAAUAUUCUUGUUCGAUCUUUCAAAGAUGGCAAAUUUACUUCAGUGCCAAGAAAGGAUGUCCAUGAAAUUACUAGUGACACUGCACCAAAGCCUGAUGCUGUAUUAAAACAAGCCUUUGACCAGGCACUUGAAUUUCACAAAAGUAGAACUAUUCCUGCUAACUGGAAGACUGAAUUGAAAGAAGAUAGCUCUAGCAGUGAAGCAGAGGAAGAGGAGGAGGAGGAAGAUGAUGAGAAAGAAAAGGAGGACAAUAGCAGUGAAGAAGAGGAAGAAAUAGAACCAUUUCCAGAAGAAAGGGAGAAUUUUCUUCAGCAGUUGUACAAAUUUAUGGAGGAUAGAGGAACACCAAUUAACAAACGACCUGUGCUUGGAUAUCGAAAUUUGAAUCUCUUUAAGUUAUUCAGACUUGUACACAAACUUGGAGGAUUUGAUAAUAUUGAAAGUGGAGCUGUUUGGAAGCAAGUCUACCAAGAUCUUGGCAUUCCUGUCUUAAAUUCAGCUGCAGGAUACAAUGUUAAGUGUGCUUAUAAAAAAUACUUAUAUGGUUUUGAGGAGUACUGUAGAUCGGCCAAUAUUGAAUUUCAGAUGGCAUUGCCAGAGAAAGUUGUUAACAAACCAUGUAAGGAGUGUGAAAAUGUAAAAGAAAUAAAAGUUAAGGAAGAAAAUGAACCAGAGAUCAAAGAAAUAAAGAUUGAAGAGGAAGAGAAGAUAGUACCAAAAGAAGAAAAGCCUGCUGAAGAUGACAUUGAAAGAAAGGAAAAUAUUAAACCCUCUCUGGUAAAUCAGAUAUAUUGUUUGCCUUCUUUGGUACAUUUUCUACAUCCUCUGUAAAGUUUUCAUAAUUCAUUUUUGUAUAAUUUUAUACUUUAUUAUUUGUGCAUUUUCUUCAGUAAGUACUGUUUUUGUGUUUAAAAUAGCUGUUCGCUAUUUUUGCCUAGUGUAGGAAUGGUAGGAGUUUCUUAACUAAUUACUUACUCAAUAUUAGUUUAGUUAGUACCUCUUUUUGCUAAUAAUUAGAUCAUGGAAUUAGGUUGACAUUUUUCACUUUUGUUGGUUUAGUUCCUCUGAUCUUUUUCUAGGGAAGUAAAAAGAAUUUAUUAGAAUCUAUACCUACACAAACUGAUCAGGAAAAAGAAGUGAACAUGAAAAAAACAGAAGAAAAUGAAAAUCUGGAAGAUAAAGAUGAUGUGACAACUGGGGUAGAUGAAUCCCUCAGCAUAAAGGUAGAAGCUGAAGAAGAAAAAGCAAAAUCUGGAGAUGAAACGAAUAAAGAGGAAGAUGAAGAUGAUGAAGAACCAGAAGAGGAGGAGGAGGAGGAGGAAGAAGAGGAUGAAGAUGAUGAUGACGCCAAUGAGGAAGAGGAGUUUGAAUGCUAUCCGCCAGGCAUGAAAGUCCAAGUGCGGUAUGGACGAGGGAAAAAUCAAAAAAUGUAUGAAGCUAGUAUUAAAGAUUCUGAUGUCGAAGGUGGAGAGGUCCUUUACUUGGUGCAUUACUGCGGAUGGAAUGUGAGAAAGGAAAACGAGGCCUAGUUCAACAAGAUAUGCUUGUGUCACUGAGAAGGAUGCCAUCUACUCCUGACAACUCAAGCAUUUGGUAUGAACAUUGAAAAGAAGAAAACUUACCAUCUUGGUGAAGACCUAUAGGGUGGAUCUCUCCAGCAUCAUAGAGAAAACAACUGUACUUCCUUCAGUAGAUUAAGCAGUUAAUUUUCUUAUAGUCAACAUAACAGCAU
ensembl:lncRNA